GACGAACGCUGGCGGCGUGCUUAACACAUGCAAGUCGAACGGAAAGGCCCUGCUUUUGUGGGGUGCUCGAGUGGCGAACGGGUGAGUAACACGUGAGUAACCUGCCCCUGACUUUGGGAUAACCUCAGGAAACUUGGUCUAAUACCGGAUACGAGCUCCCGCUGCAUGGUGGGGGUUGGAUAGUUUCGGCGGUUGGGGAUGGACUCGCGGCCUACCAGCUUGUUGGUGGGGUAGUGGCUUACCAAGGCUUUGACGGGUAGCCGGCCUGAGAGGGUGAACGGCCACAUUGGGACUGAGAUACGGCCCAGACUCCUACGGGAGGCAGAAGUGGGGAAUAUUGCACAAUGGGCGGAAGCCUGAUGCAGCGACGCCGCGUGCGGGAUGACGGCCUUCGGGUUGUAAACCGCUUUCGCCUGUGACGAAGAGUGUGUGACGGUAAUGGGUAAAGAAGCACCGGCUAACUACGUG
rnacentral:rRNA from 1 species